UACGUAGGUGGCAAGCGUUGUCCGGAUUUACUGGGCGUAAAGAGCGCGCAGGCGGUCGAAUAAGUCGAAUGUGAAAGCCCCCGGCUUAACUGGGGAGGGUCAUUCGAUACUGCUCGACUUGAAGGCAGGAGAGGGUAGUGGAAUUCCCGGUGUAGUGGUGAAAUGCGUAGAUAUCGGGGAGGAACACCAGUGGCGAAGGCGACUACCUGGCCUGUUCUUGACGCUGAGGCACGAAAGCU
rnacentral:rRNA from 1 species